UACGAAGGGGGGCUAGCGUUGCUCGGAUUUACUGGGCGUAAAGGGCGCGUAGGCGGAUGUUUAAGUCGGGGGGUGAAAGUCCAGGGCUCAACCCUGGAACUGCCUUCGAUACUGGACAUCUUGAGUACGGGAGAGGUGAGUGGAACUCCGAGUGUAGAGGUGAAAUUCGUAGAUAUUCGGAAGAACACCAGUGGCGAAGGCGACUCACUGGCCCGUUACUGACGCUGAGGCGCGAAAGCGUGGGGAGCAAACAGG
rnacentral:rRNA from 1 species